rnacentral:rRNA from 1 species
UACGAAGGGGGCUAGCGUUGCUCGGAAUCACUGGGCGUAAAGCGCACGUAGGCGGCUUUUUUAAGUCAGAGGUGAAAUCCUGGAGCUCAACUCCAGAACUGCCUUUGAUACUGGAGAGCUUGAGUCCGGGAGAGGUGAGUGGAACUGCGAGUGUAGAGGUGAAAUUCGUAGAUAUUCGCAAGAACACCAGUGGCGAAGGCGGCUCACUGGCCCGAUACUGACGCUGAGGCACGAAAGCGA